AAUCAACGCUGGCGGCGUGCCUCAGACAUGCAAGUCGAACGCGAAAGUUCCCUUCGGGGAGCAAGUAGAGUGGCGCACGGGUGAGUAACACGUAGGUAAUCUACCUUUGGAUGGGGAAUAACAAUCGGAAACGGUUGCUAAUACCGCAUAAUGCAGCGGCACCUAAUGGUGACAGUUGUUAAAGCGGGGGAUCGAAAGACCUCGCGUCUAAAGAGGAGCCUGCGGCGGAUUAGCUAGUUGGUAAGGUAACGGCUUACCAAGGCGAUGAUCCGUAGCCGGCCUGAGAGGGCGGUCGGCCACACUGACACUGACAUACGGGUCAGACUCCUACGGGAGGCAGCAGUCGGGAAUUUUGGGCAAUGGGCGAAAGCCUGACCCAGCAACGCCGCGUGAAGGAUGAAAUCCCUCGGGAUGUAAACUUCGCAAGAACGGGAAGAAUAAGUUGGUGCGAACAUCACCAGCGAUGACGGUACCGUUUGUAAGCUCCGGCUAACUCCGUGC
rnacentral:rRNA from 1 species